UUCACUUAUUCAUCUAUAAGGUGAAUUUUAUAGUCAUUGGACUACUUGACAAAAAAAAUCAUCACUAUGACAUACAGAAAACAAAUAAUAUAUCGGUAGUGUGAACAUGGACCCAAUCAAACCCAUUAUUUUUCACAAAAGUGCUAUAACAAUCAACUAGCCACCUUGAUUAGUGCAUAAAACAUGCCGUUAGACACACUCAAAGGGUCCUAGAUUUCAAUAUCAAAAUCAUUAAAUUAAACACUGUAGCCGUUGCUUCCUUCAUCAAGUAAAUAUUACU
rnacentral:lncRNA from 1 species